AGUUUGAUCCUGGCUCAGGAUGAACGCUAGCUACAGGCUUAACACAUGCAAGUCGAGGGGCAUCAGGAAGAAAGCUUGCUUUCUUUGCUGGCGACCGGCGCACGGGUGAGUAACACGUAUCCAACCUGCCCUUUACUCGGGGAUAGCCUUUCGAAAGAAAGAUUAAUACCCGAUGGGAUAAUUAUUCCGCAUGGUUUGAUUAUUAAAGGAUUCCGGUAAAGGAUGGGGAUGCGUUCCAUUAGGUUGUUGGUGAGGUAACGGCUCACCAAGCCUUCGAUGGAUAGGGGUUCUGAGAGGAAGGUCCCCCACAUUGGAACUGAGACACGGUCCAAACUCCUACGGGAGGCAGCAGUGAGGAAUAUUGGUCAAUGGGCGCUAGCCUGAACCAGCCAAGUAGCGUGAAGGAUGAAGGCUCUAUGGGUCGUAAACUUCUUUUAUAUAAGAAUAAAGUGCAGUAUGUAUACUGUUUUGUAUGUAUUAUAUGAAUAAGGAUCGGCUAACUCCGUGCCAGCAGCCGCGGUAAUACGGAGGAUCCGAGCGUUAUCCGGAUUUAUUGGGUUUAAAGGGAGCGUAGGUGGACUGGUAAGUCAGUUGUGAAAGUUUGCGGCUCAACCGUAAAAUUGCAGUUGAUACUGUCAGUCUUGAGUACAGUAGAGGUGGGCGGAAUUCGUGGUGUAGCGGUGAAAUGCUUAGAUAUCACGAAGAACUCCGAUUGCGAAAGCAGCUCACUGGACUGCAACUGACACUGAUGCUCGAAAGUGUGGGUAUCAAACAGGAUUAGAUACCCUGGUAGUCCACACAGUAAACGAUGAAUACCCGCUGUUUGCGAUAUACAGUAAGCGGCCAAGCGAAAGCAUUAAGUAUUCCACCUGGGGAGUACGCCGGCAACGGUGAAACUCAAAGGAAUUGACGGGGGCCCGCACAAGCGGAGGAACAUGUGGUUUAAUUCGAUGAUACGCGAGGAACCUUACCCGGGCUUAAAUUGCAGUGGAAUGAUGUGGAAACAUGUCAGUGAGCAAUCACCGCUGUGAAGGUGCUGCAUGGUUGUCGUCAGCUCGUGCCGUGAGGUGUCGGCUUAAGUGCCAUAACGAGCGCAACCCUUAUCUUUAGUUACUAACAGGUUAUGCUGAGGACUCUAGAGAGACUGCCGUCGUAAGAUGUGAGGAAGGUGG
rnacentral:rRNA from 1 species